UGCUUACACAUGCAAGUCGAACGGGAUCCAUCAGGCUUUGCUUGGUGGUGAGAGUGGCGAACGGGUGAGUAAUGCGUGACCGACCUGCCCCAUACACCGGAAUAGCUCCUGGAAACGGGUGGUAAUGCCGGAUGCUCCGACUCCUCGCAUGGGGUGUCGGGAAAGAUUUCAUCGGUAUGGGAUGGGGUCGCGUCCUAUCAGGUAGUCGGCGGGGUAACGGCCCACCGAGCCUACGACGGGUAGCCGGCCUGAGAGGGCGACCGGCCACAUUGGGACUGAGAUACGGCCCAGACUCCUACGGGAGGCAGCAGUGGGGAAUAUUGCACAAUGGGCGCAAGCCUGAUGCAGCGACGCCGCGUGCGGGAUGACGGCCUUCGGGUUGUAAACCGCUUUUGAUCGGGAGCAAGCCUUCGGGUGAGUGUACCUUUCGAAUAAGCACCGGCUAACUACGUGCCAGCAGCCGCGGUAAUACGUAGGGUGCAAGCGUUAUCCGGAAUUAUUGGGCGUAAAGGGCUCGUAGGCGGUUCGUCGCGUCCGGUGUGAAAGUCCAUCGCUUAACGGUGGAUCUGCGCCGGGUACGGGCGGGCUGGAGUGCGGUAGGGGAGACUGGAAUUCCCGGUGUAACGGUGGAAUGUGUAGAUAUCGGGAAGAACACCAAUGGCGAAGGCAGGUCUCUGGGCCGUUACUGACGCUGAGGAGCGAAAGCGUGGGGAGCGAACAGGAUUAGAUACCCUGGUAGUCCACGCCGUAAACGGUGGAUGCUGGAUGUGGGGCCCGUUCCACGGGUUCCGUGUCGGAGCUAACGCGUUAAGCAUCCCGCCUGGGGAGUACGGCCGCAAGGCUAAAACUCAAAGAAAUUGACGGGGGCCCGCACAAGCGGCGGAGCAUGCGGAUUAAUUCGAUGCAACGCGAAGAACCUUACCUGGGCUUGACAUGUUCCCGACAGCCGUAGAGAUAUGGCCUCCCUUCGGGGCGGGUUCACAGGUGGUGCAUGGUCGUCGUCAGCUCGUGUCGUGAGAUGUUGGGUUAAGUCCCGCAACGAGCGCAACCCUCGCCCUGUGUUGCCAGCACGUCAUGGUGGGAACUCACGGGGGACCGCCGGGGUCAACUCGGAGGAAGGUGGGGAUGACGUCAGAUCAUCAUGCCCCUUACGUCCAGGGCUUCACGCAUGCUACAAUGGCCGGUACAACGGGAUGCGACACGGCGACGUGGAGCGGAUCCCUGAAAACCGGUCUCAGUUCGGAUUGGAGUCUGCAACCCGACUCCAUGAAGGCGGAGUCGCUAGUAAUCGCGGAUCAGCAACGCCGCGGUGAAUGCGUUCCCGGGCCUUGUACACACCGCCCGUCAAGUCAUGAAAGUGGGUAGCACCCGAAGCCGGUGGCCUAACCCUUUGUGGAUGGAGCCGUCUAAGUAGACUCGUC
rnacentral:rRNA from 1 species